AGAACACAACUCUCAGCAACGGAUAUCUUGGCUCCUGCAACGAUGAAGAACGCAGCGAAAUGCGAUACGUAGUGUGAAUUGCAGAAUUCCGCGAAUCAUCGAGUUUUUGAACGCAAGUUGCGCCCGAGGCUUGUCCGAGGGCAUUUCCGCUAGAGCGUCACC
rnacentral:rRNA from 1 species